GAAGGUGGCAUCUUAGUUGAGAUCUGAAUGACAACAGCAGCGAAGAGAAAUGUUCAGAUGUCAAGAAAGGGCUGAGCACGUUCCCAGGAGAGAAGGGUACGCAUGGCUCCGGUGGGAAGGACAGGUGGACCUGGACACCAUGAGAAAUGGAAGUCCACGGACAAGUGUAAGCAGGCCUGGCAGCGAAGGUGUACAUGCCUGAGAACGGUCUCCGGCUGCUGAGCUGCAGUAAUGCCACUGUCUAAACUCCUGUGACUGGAAAAAGCCAUUGGGAAGAAGUCAUUCCUCACUCGCAAGGCGGCUGGCUGAUGUCAUCCAUAUAUGCCUUUAGAAACACAUGUACCUUGGCUGUCCCAUGAGCCAGUCCUCCCCUGAGUAGGUGCCACGCCCAACAUGAGGCUUGAACUCAGGACCCUGAGAUCAAGAGUCACAUGCUCUACCAACUGAGCCAGCCAGGCACCACUCUUCAUUACCUCUUCAAAGGCUCUAUAUCCAAAUAAAGUUCACACUGGGGAUUAGGGCUUUAGCAUAUGAAUUUGGAGGGACACAAUUCAGUCCAUAACAGAGUAAGUUACAGAAUAAAGCGGGGGUAAAGAUGUAGGUAACAAGAGGUGGAGAAUCUCAGUUUUGCUCUGAAGACGAGAAACGAGGCCAUGACUGGCGAGGGAGGCAGUGGGGUCGAGAGAGGUUCCAGAGGCACCUCCCCACUCCCCAGUACACACAUAUGGGAGAUAUCAGAACCAAGGCAGGCACCGAGAGGUGAGUUCCAGAUGAACAGCAAGUCAAAGAAUGCCAUGCAAUGCACUUACGGAGCAACCGAGCAAGGUUCUUUGGCAUGACUUACUCCUUGAAGCUCCUGGUGUACCUUGUUCUGCCUUGCCCA